rnacentral:rRNA from 1 species
AGUACGCCGGCAACGGUGAAACUCAAAGGAAUUGACGGGGGCCCGCACAAGCGGAGGAACAUGUGGUUUAAUUCGAUGAUACGCGAGGAACCUUACCCGGGCUUGAAUUGCAGAUGAAUUACGGUGAAAGCCGUAAGCCGCAAGGCAUCUGUGGAGGUGCUGCAUGGUUGUCGUCAGCUCGUGCCGUGAGGUGUCGGCUUAAGUGCCAUAACGAGCGCAACCCUUGUUGUCAGUUACUAACAGGCUCCGCUGAGGACUCUGACAAGACUGCCAUCGUAAGAUGUGAGGAAGGUGGGGAUGACGUCAAAUCAGCACGGCCCUUACGUCCGGGGCUACACACGUGUUACAAUGGGGGGUACAGAGGGCCGCUACCACGCGAGUGGAUGCCAAUCCCCAAAACCUCUCUCAGUUCGGACUGGAGUCUGCAACCCGACUCCACGAAGCUGGAUUCGCUAGUAAUCGCGCAUCAGCCACGGCGCGGUGAAUACGUUCCCGGGCCUUGUACACACCGCCCGUCAAGCCAUGGGAGCCGGGGGUACCUGAAGUGCGUAACCGCGAGGAGCGCCCUAGGGUAAAACUGGUGACUGGGGCUAAGUCGUAACAAGGUAGCCGUACCGGAAGGUGCGGCUGGAUCACCUC